GUAUCAUGGCUCAGGAUGAACGCUAGCUACAGGCUUAACACAUGCAAGUCGAGGGGCAGCAUGAACUUAGCUUGCUAAGUUUGAUGGCGACCGGCGCACGGGUGAGUAACACGUAUCCAACCUUCCGUUUACUCAGGGAUAGCCUCUCGAAAGAAAGAUUAAUACCUGAUAGUAUGGUGAGAUUGCAUGAUAACACCAUUAAAGAUUUAUUGGUAAACGAUGGGGAUGCGUUCCA
rnacentral:rRNA from 1 species